ACCUUCCAAACCUCUAGCAGCUAGAAGGUCAAGAGCUGCAGACCAUCAUCACCUGCAAACUCCCCUCCAAGUCAUGCACCGUUCUGACUUGGAAAGAUAUGACCCUUCAUUCAUAGCGGCCAGGUCAAAAUCCUGAAACGGUCUCUCCAAGAACAGAGUGUGUCUGUGUACCCAUGCCAUAUGAACUCUGGCAGAGCAAGAAGGUAUCUUAUUAGUUCCUUCUCAAUGGCAGUUAGGAGUGGGCAAAAAAAACCUUACAUUUCACAAGAAAAGACUCCCCCAACUACAGUGGUGAGAUUUGAACUCAAUGUGUUCAUUCAGAUUGAAAGAUAUUAAUCAGUCUUUGCAUCACAAAUCUGAUUGCUGCUGUGAACCUCUGUCUCUUCUGCAAAAAAUACUGUUCUCUCCAUCACAGCUCAAUUUGCUUGUCUCUGUAUAUGUCCCAGUCUGCAGUAAAUAUCAAACUACACAGUUGUGAAUCCAGCUUCCAUACAUGGAAUGUGCAAAUUUGUGAAGGAAUGGUACACUCCCCUUCCUGAAAAUGGAAAUAAUGAAAAUCUAUAUAUAAUAAUAAUUGGCAAUGUUUUAAGAACUGCACAGCCAAAUCCACCAACUUCCACUCAAAUCAGCUCAAUGUAAACAAACUACUGCUCUAUAAAAUUUGGACUCAUUUUGAUUAUCCAUUUAAAUUCCAUCAUGUUCUACAAUAAUUUAUCAGCUAAACACACAAACAUAAUGACAUACAGCAAAUUACUGAUUAAUGUGAAUUCAUUGCAGCAGGCUCACUAAUAAGAACUGCAAAAACAUAAUGGGCCUCACAUGUACAGGGGAAGGCAAUUAAGUCACUACAGGUGACCUAUUGUCUCAAGGGGAAGUCAGUGAUCCUGAAUAGCUCCAGAGCCAUGAUCUUCUGAGGCCCCACAGACUGCAGAGGGGCACACUGAUAGCAGGCAAGACUAUAGUGGUAGGGCCUCCAAAGUCACAUGUUGUAGGUAUCCAGAGUCUGAAUUUCCAACAGAUGAUUUAGGGGAUGUAAAAGGAAAGUUCACUGUGGGAUCCCUGGAAAGGAGCACAUUCUCCCCAAUGGAACAGUUGAGGUCUUUGGUAUCUGAUGGUGAUUUGAAUGUGAAAACAGGACUGACAAAUAAAUUAAUCAAAAUGACAUCACUAGAGACAAAGUUUGCCCACCGACCUUUGGAGUUGUGGAGUCUUCAUGGACAUUUACAAAUGGCAGGUGGAACCCACAUGUGAAUGGGUUACAUCCAUUUCAGAAAGAUCCAAUUUUUGCAAUCAGGAAUAAGGGGAGAGGUGUUCACACAAGGAGGAAAUCCAAAUCCAUACAAACCUAAGAAUUAGAAGCAGGACUAGAACAUUCCACCCUCGGGUCUGCUUCACCAUUUGGUAAGAUCAUGGUUGAUCUGAACAAGGCAUCAACUCCAUUUCCUGUUUGGUACCAUUAACCAUUACUCGUUUGUCAAUCAAAAAUCUGAAUAACUGAACAAUUAAUAUAUUGGAUUUCCACUCUGAAAGAAAAUAUUUCUUCCCAUUUCAACUCCAUUUGGAAACGUACUCACUUUUAAACUGUUCUGUAGCCCACUACAUGGGGAGACAAAAACAUUGUUGUAGAGUGUACUGAACCAGUAUUCCA